UCCCUGGUGGUCCAGUGGCUAAGACUCUGCACUCCGAAUGCUGGGGACCAGGGUUCAAUCCCUGGUCAGGGAA
rnacentral:tRNA from 1 species